AUCAAAGUCUUCAAGUUCAAGGCCAUUUGUACUCUCAUGAAGAAAAGCAAGAAAGAUAGGAAAAUUGAAGAAAAACUUAAGCUUGGUUCCAGUCGAGCCUAAAGCCCCAGACUCCGGCUGGUGGGAUAGUUUCUUCAACCCAAGAAAUCUAGAACAGGUGGUGGAUUUUGUUAUGUAAUGUUAAAUUUGGUAAUGAUGUUCAUAAUUAGAGCUCAGAACCUAUAAACGGUGCUUUUGUUCAGUUAGGCUGUUGAAAAAAUUGGCCUAGGCGCUAGGCAACCGCCUAGGCGGGUCUAGGCGGCCUGGGAGGAUCUAAGCGGCGCCUUGGCAGCCUGGGAGGAUCUAGGCAGCUUGGGCGGAUCUAGGCGGCCUGGGCGGGUCUGGGCGCCAGGGCGGGUAUGGGGGCCAGGGCGGGUCGUAUCCCUUUUUUUUUCCAAAUGAAGACAGACGAGCUUGCUGGUGUGAAGGAGCAAAGGUGACAUGUAUGGGGUAGUCGUCACCAUCAAUAUCGUACACUGUGACCUCCUGGUUCUAGAUGCCUCGUUUACGUAAUUCAUCACCCUCUAACCAUGGCAAGAUGUGGCUUUCCACGUCUUUUUUGCACAUGUACAGCGUAGUUCGUGUCACAUCACUAUAUGCCAACUGCUUCUCAAAACGCUUGCUGCACCUUGUGAUCUUGUUUUGGAGGCUUGGGGGGACGUCAGGAGGGGCAUGGCCUCCUUGUUCUACUUGUUGCGGUUGUUGAGGCAGAGGCAUGUCCUGUGCUGCCAUGACUGCAUGUUCUUGGGCUGCAGGUUCGUGAAACUGAGGUGAGACUUGGAGGCUCCAACUUUGUUCAAGUUCUUCUUGUUGUUCAGGCAUGCCAUGUGCUGCAAUGACUUCUUGGGCAUGUUGGGUUCCCCGUUUUUGUAAUUGAGCAAAUUCUUGGGGAUAAGAAGGGACAUACUUGUUAAUUCCAGAGGAGGAGCCUUGUACUAGUUGUGCUGGUGCAGCAACUUCAGUUUCUUGAAACUGACCAAACUCUUGGAGGCCUUGGACUGAUUGCGGAUAAUAAGAAGGGUUAAUUCCAAAGGAAGAGCCUUGUUCUAGUUGUUGUUCCUCGUGCAGCAACUUGCUGUGGUUCAAUUUCUUGAAACAGUGCUGCAAAAUCUUCAUUUUCUUGCUGUGGUUCCAUUUCUUGAAAAAGUGCUACAAAAUCUUCAUAUUCUGGCGCAGCAACUUGCUGUGGUUGUUCUUGUGGAGCAAUGGCUUCAACUUCAGUUUCUUGAAAAACUGAUCUGAGAUAUCGGCCUAGGCGCUAUUCGGGAGGACACCGACAC